UGCAGGAUAGCUCAGCCAGUAAAGCAUAACAUUCUUAAUCUCAGGGUUGUGGGUUUGAGCCCCACGUUGGGCAA